AUGGUCCUCGGGUACCCCUUGGAGGAAGCACAUGCUAUUGCUGACCGAAUAAACUAUUGGCUGGGUUCUUUCCCCAUGACCUAUCUGGGGAUCCCCAUUAGUGACUCGCGCCUCACCGUGGCUGAUCUUCGCCCCACAGUGACCCGUAUGCAACAUCGCGUUGAGCCCCGGAAAGGGCGUUGGCUGUCGAAGGCUGCUCGCGUGAUCCUCAUCAACUCUUCGCUUGCUAGCCUCCUUUGGUUCCUCAUGAGCUUUUAUAGCCUCCAUGAAACCCUGCACUAGGAGAUCGCCAAAUACGAAUCCAGAUUCUUCUGGGCUGGGGAGGGGGAUAAGCAGAAGUACCACAUGGUCAGCUGGCCAGAUAUAUGCAAACCCAAGGACUAGGGCGGUCUUGGGAUUUUGUCCUCCCGGUGCAUGAACAUUGCCCUCCUGACCCGUUGGCUCUGGCGCAUUGCCAAUGGGGAUGGAGGUCUCUGGCUUACUAUCAUCCAGAACAAGUACCUGCGUGGAUAG
rnacentral:rRNA from 1 species